rnacentral:rRNA from 1 species
UAAUACGGAGGGUGCAAGCGUUGUCCGGAUUUAUUGGGUUUAAAGGGUGCGUAGGUGGCGUGUUAAGUCAGUGGUGAAAUCCUGCAGCUCAACUGUAGAGGUGCCAUUGAUACUGACAUGCUUGAGUAUGGACGAGGUAGGCGGAAUUUGUGGUGUAGCGGUGAAAUGCAUAGAUACCACAAAGAACACCGAUAGCGAAGGCAGCUUACUGGACCAUAACUGACACUGAGGCACGAAAGUGUGGGUAGCGAACAGGAUUAGAUACCCUGGUAGUCCACACCGUAAACGAUGCUCACUCGAUGUAUGCGAUACACUGUAUGCGUCCAAGGGAAACCGUUAAGUGAGCCACCUGGGGAGUACGCUCGCAAGAGUG